rnacentral:rRNA from 1 species
AACCGUGCGAAGGUAGCACAAUCACUUGUUCUCUAAAUAAGGACCAGUAUGAAUGGCACCACGAAGACUAUACUGUCUCCUUUCUACAAUCAGUGAAACUGAUCUCCCCGUGAAAAAGCGGGGAUUAUAUUAUAAGACGAGAAGACCCCAUGGAGCUUUAAGAAAAUAAUUAACUAUUAUACUAAUAUCAUAAAAACUCAACAGACCUAAUUAUUAACUUUCGGUUGGGGUGACCACGGAGUAAAAUAAAACCUCCACAAUGAAAGAGCUUAGCCCUAAUUUAAGAAUUACAUUUCCAAAAAUCACCAUAUUGACAUUUAUUGACCCAAACCCUUGAUCAAUGAACCAAGUUACCCUGGGGAUAACAGCGCAAUCCAUUUUUAGAGCCCCU